GGGGGCAACCCCUUGAGAGUGGCGAACGGGUGAGUAAUGUAUCGGAACGUGCCCAGUCGUGGGGGAUAACGUAGUGAAAAUUACGCUAAUACCGCAUACGAUCUAUGGAUGAAAGCGGGGGAUCGCAAGACCUCGCGCGAUUGGAGCGGCCGAUAUCAGAUUAGGUAGUUGGUAGGGUAAAGGCCUACCAAGCCAACGAUCUGUAGCUGGUCUGAGAGGACGACCAGCCACACUGGAACUGAGACACGGUCCAGACUCCUACGGGAGGCAGCAGUGGGGAAUUUUGGACAAUGGGCGAAAGCCUGAUCCAGCCAUUCCGCGUGCAGGAUGAAGGCCCUCGGGUUGUAAACUGCUUUUGUACAGAACGAAAAGGUUUCUAUUAAUACUAGGAGCUCAUGACGGUACUGUAAGAAUAAGCACCGGCUAACUACGUGCCAGCAGCCGCGGUAAUACGUAGGGUGCAAGCGUUAAUCGGAAUUACUGGGCGUAAAGCGUGCGCAGGCGGUUAUAUAAGUCAGAUGUGAAAUCCCCGGGCUCAACCUGGGAACUGCAUUUGAGACUGUAUAGCUAGAGUACGGUAGAGGGGGAUGNANUUCC
rnacentral:rRNA from 1 species